rnacentral:rRNA from 1 species
GGAUGAGGGGUGCUUGCACCCCGAUUCAGCGGCGGACGGGUGAGUAAUGCCUAGGAAUCUUGCCUGUAAGACUGGGAUAACUUCGGGAAACCGAAGCUAAUACCGGAUAGGAUCUUCUCCCGGGAGAAAGUGGGGGCUCUUCGGACCUCACGCUAUCGGAUGAGCCUAGGUCGGAUUAGCUAGUUGGUGGGGUAAAGGCUCACCAAGGCGACGAUCCGUAACUGGUCUGAGAGGAUGAUCAGUCACACUGGAACUGAGACACGGUCCAGACUCCUACGGGAGGCAGCAGUGGGGAAUCUUCCGCAAUGGACGAAAGUCUGACGGAGCAACGCCGCGUGAGUGAUGAAGGCUUUCGGAUUGUAAAGCACUUUAAGUCGGGAGGAAGGGCUGUAGGUUAAUACCUUGCAGCCUUGACGUUACCGACAGAAUAAGCACCGGCUAACUUCGUGCCAGCAGCCGCGGUAAUACGAAGGGUGCAAGCGUUAAUCGGAAUUACUGGGCGUAAAGCGCGCGUAGGCGGUUUGGUAAGUUGGAUGUGAAAGCCCCGGGCUCAACCUGGGAACUGCAUCCAAAACUGCCUGACUAGAGUACGGUAGAGGGUGGUGGAAUUUCCUGUGUAGCGGUGAAAUGCGUAGAUAUAGGGAGGAACACCAGUGGGCGAAGGCGGCUUUUUGGUCUGUAACUGACGCUGAGGCGCGAAAGGCGUGGGGAGCAAACAGGAUUAGAUACCCUGGUAGUCCACGCCGUAAACGAUGUCGACUAGCCGUUGGGCUCCUUGAGAGCUUAGUGGCGCAGCUAACGCAUUAAGUCGACCGCCUGGGGAGUACGGCCGCAAGGUUAAAACUCAAAUGAAUUGACGGGGGCCCGCACAAGCGGUGGAGCAUGUGGUUUAAUUCGAAGCAACGCGAAGAACCUUACCUGGCCUUGACAUGCUGAGAAAACUCUAGAGAUAGAGCGUUCCCCUUCGGGGGACAGAGUGACAGGUGGUGCAUGGUUGUCGUCAGCUCGUGUCGUGAGAUGUUGGGUUAAGUCCCGUAACGAGCGCAACCCUUGUCCUUAGUUACCAGCACCUCGGGUGGGCACUCUAAGGAGACUGCCGGUGACAAACCGGAGGAAGGUGGGGAUGACGUCAAGUCAUCAUGGCCCUUACGGCCAGGGCUACACACGUGCUACAAUGGUCGGUACAGAGGGUUGCCAAGCCGCGAGGCGGAGCUAAUCCCAGAAAACCGAUCGUAGUCCGGAUCGCAGUCUGCAACUCGACUGCGUGAAGUCGGAAUCGCUAGUAAUCGCGAAUCAGAAUGUCGCGGUGAAUACGUUCCCGGGCCUUGUACACACCGCCCGUCACACCAUGGGAGUGGGUUGCUCCAGAAGUAGCUAGUCUAACCUUCGGGGGGACGGUUACCACGGAGUGAUUCAUGACUGGGGUGAAGUCGUAACAAGGUAGCCGUAGGGGAACCUGCGGCUGGAUCACCUCCUU